rnacentral:rRNA from 1 species
CAGUAGGGAAUCUUCCACAAUGGACGCAAGUCUGAUGGAGCAACGCCGCGUGAGUGAAGAAGGUCUUCGGAUCGUAAAACUCUGUUGUUAGAGAAGAACACGAGUGAGAGUAACUGUUCAUUCGAUGACGGUAUCUAACCAGCAAGUCACGGCUAACUACGUGCCAG